UACGAAGGGUGCAAGCGUUACUCGGAAUUACUGGGCGUAAAGCGUGCGUAGGUGGUUUGUUAAGUCUGUUGUGAAAGCCCCGGGCUCAACCUGGGAAUGGCAAUGGAUACUGGCAGGCUAGAGUGCGGUAGAGGGUAGUGGAAUUCCAGGUGUAGCGGUGAAAUGCGUAGAUAUCUGGAGGAAUACCGGUGGCGAAGGCGGCAGCCUGGACCGACAUUGACGCUGAACGGCGAAAGCUAGGGGAGAAAACGGG
rnacentral:rRNA from 1 species